GGGCUGUAAUAUUUUUUCUUCAUAAUAUAAAGUCUAGUGAUCAAAGGAGUGCCGGAAAGAUUAGGUACAACACUUGGAUAACUCGAUUAUUAAGAAAGUAGAAACUGUCUGAAAAAUCAAAAAAAUUUCGAUGCUGGUUAACAUAAGAAUUCCCUGACUGAUUGCUGGACUACAUAGCAAUGGUACAUAUGAAAACAGUAGCUCCAAACCUAAUGUCCAGAUGUGCUACAAAAGAAAUCUCGUGUNGUAAUAGAGAUGCAACAAAAAUAUGAUCAGCUUCCAGCAACUGGUGAUACAGUUGCAGGCUUUGCAUCCUCGGCCUUCUCAUGUUCCUUGUUGAGCAUCUGGAGAAACAGUGUUCAGACUAUUAGGUCUGAUCAUCAUAUCAUGUACAAAAUAUCUUGUUCUUAUAACAAUAUUGAAACGUAUAAACUAAGAUAUAUAAAUGUGGAUCUAUAUUAUAUCAAGUGUAUUAGUGCCCAGAUAUCUUCACACAGACAGAGAAGACAUUUAGAAUUUAAGAUUUAUAUAAUCGAUACAACAUAGAUAUACAACUAUUUCCUUAAAAUGAAAUAUAACAGAAUGAAUCCAUAUAUCAAGUUUGAUAGGAAUACUAAGGCAGGACGACCAUAUAGACAUGGUGUCAAGUAACAAGUAACGAUGGUGUCAUAGAUAUAAUGGACAUAUAAAAUUGUAAUAACUAAACAAAAUACAAAAGCCAUUUUUAUCUUGGUCUCACUAUACUUGCAAAACUGAAUACCAUAAGAAUGACAUGUUAAAAACACGAGAAAUUGAUAGUAAUAUUAUCCUUAUUUUUUAAAUCAUAAAAACCCAACUCUAGACGUAAUAGGCCAGAAGGCAGCCAUUCAAAAGUUAUGUUAUGACUAAAACUUUCAAGUUAAAAAUAAUAACAUGAAGUUUUGUAAGCAACUGGCGUUCAUUAUAAGUUAUAACCAAUAUAACAACAAUUGUAAAACAAUUAAACCAACAAUCUAAUUACUCAAAUGUUGACCUCUUAUAAUUAAUGUAGAUAAAACAAAGAAUUUAAACACAUACAUAAACAGAUAUAUGCAAGUUGAGAUGGUUGGCUUUGCUUAAUAAUCGUCAUCACUCAUGUUAUGACAUUUUAAAAUUUGGUAUUUGAAUGUCAUUAUGUAGUAACUAUGCUUCAUUCAAACUUAUUAUUAUAAAACUUAUGAUUUAAUAUCUGCAAAUGCGUUCAAUUAUAUUAUUAAAUCAUGCAUAGGAAGGACAAAUAGAUUAGUCAUUUUAAAGGUUCUUGGCAUCGAGACUCGACUUGGCGUCAAAAUAACCAUGACUCACAAGCACACAGACCUUCACCAAGACUUAAACUAGCCCUUCUACUACAACUACUACGAAGAGGAUAAGGGUAUCCACUAGACUAACCACCUUUCAUAUCCACAGUAAACAAUACUGGGAAGGAGAUAUGCUUAAUAGUAUCUCCAAAAUGAACUAGCAAGUAAAUAAAAACAUUCCAUGGAAAUAUAUUGGAGCACUAAAUUUUUACCAAUUAUAACUAGUCACACAAUUAUAAUUCUUUCAGACAUAAUCUAAAGAAGUUGUAAAAAGUAAGGUGACAUGAUGUGCUUAAACAUAAGUAAAUGUCUAAGAGAAAGAGCACCUUGUUAUUGAUCAAGUUGUGGAGCGCUAUGACACUUCGAAUCAAAGAUGAAAGAUAUAUAACCAGCAUCUGGUCAUUUGUUUUUACUGCAUGAAUAGAUAUUAUCAACGACAAUAGGUAUCACUGUCAGUAAACUGAUAUGGUUUUAAGUACAACAGUCACUUUCAUUUUUACAUUUCCUGAGUAACUUGCAUACCUGCAAAUGCCUUGAUUAAAUCAGCUACAUUUAAAUUGGGAAGAAGGUUGAAUACAUCCUGCAAUUUCACAAAUACAAGUUUAAUAAAAAAAUUGGGGGAGAAGGGGGGAAGGUACCACUAUUAACUCUGACUGCUAGACUUAAACAAGUAUAUACUCCCCCCUGAUCUAUAAGCAUAUCAAUAUUGUUUAGCAGAUGCCAUGCUUUGUUAUUAAAAAAAGAGCAAUUGUUGGAACAUAUUUAACCACAAAAUUUCAUUAGUUUGGUAAAUAAAAAUGAGUAUAAUUUAUACGUAGUUUAAUACAAGGCCCAAAAGUUUAGACUCCAUUCAUUCCAAUUUUCUUGACGCAAAUGAGUUUCUUCUUUGUUCCCAAAAUAUACAGCCUCAUAAUAUCAUAAGAGCAUAUAUUUAGGUUGAUAAAAAAGUAAUAAUCAAUGUGUUUUAGUACAUUAACAAUGAUACGUCAUACAAGUGUGGUAAUUUGUCUGAAUUCACUAGGUUAACUUUUCUCAAAUAUUUUAUAGUUCUACGUUGCAGCAAGAAAAAUACCUAUUCACACUACUUCAGGUAAUGGUUUAGAAUAACGAAAAUCGCAAAAGCCUUCAAACUUCACUACUUUGAGAUUAAAAAAGAGUUCUAAAUUACACAUAAAACUGUGAUUUCAUCUCUAUACAGGUUUCAGAGAAAUUGAAAUGAAAAUAAAUACUCUAUAAGUUUAAGCUCAUCGCUUUGUUUUUUAAAAAAAAAGCUUUAAGAGCAUCUGUGUCAUUAAUGUUUUAAGCCACAAUUCUUCCUCUGUCUGCUGUCAUUUUCUUAAACUUCUCUUUCAAAAUUGGUUUCCUAUUCUUCCCUCUUUUAUUUUUGGCAAGGGAAUGAGGGCAUUACAGGGAAGCAUUAAUGAACUGUAUAUGUAAAUGUAAAUUUAUAAAUUACCUGUAAAUGGUACAAAAUCUCAUGAUUUAAGGGAAGCUUUUCAUCAAUAACAAGAUCAAGAUAAUUUCGUAUCUCUCGUAGCCGAGCAUCCAGUCCCUUUAAGGCUGCAAGUUUUCCUGUAACCUGCACAGGACAGUUGUGUGACAUCAACAGUCAAGCCACAGUAAUAGAAAAAGAAAAGGGAACAAGUAAAUGCUUUUGUUAGUAUUUAUGAUUAUUCAUCAUCCAGUUUUUUAACAUAUAUAUUGAUAUAUUGAUGUAAGAAGUUAAGUUUAAUAGAUGAUCUAGAUAAGCAAAAAAAAAAAACCUCUGUUGCAAGAGUGCUGAUGGUUGUAUCCUUCACAUCUCUCAGCAGGUGCUCCACUCCUGAUCACAGUUUACAUGUCAAAUGUGUUAGAGUUAAAAGGAGGCAUUGAGAAGGUCUGAUAUGCAAAAAAAAAAAAAAAGUUUUCACCUCACUGCUUACCAAUUUCCUCAACCUCAUGAGCAGCAAUUUCUGAAGGCACGUGAACAAAAACUUUCUGGCUUUUCUGAGUAGCAUUCUGUGACCAUAAACAUGAUUAGCCCAAUUUAAGGCACCCGGAAUAUUUUAUUAUCUUAUUAAUUCUGCAACAAUGAUACUACCUCCUUAACCUCUUCAACAGCACAGUAAGCUUUAGUAGGUAUUCCUAAUUCCUUGGGUUGCACAUCAAUGAUAACUAAUACAGGAUUUGGAACGUAACUGUAAUAACAAGAACUUAGUAAUUAAGAACUAUACAACAGAUUAAGGACAGAGCAGUAAAAUAAUUAGAAAGAGAAUGAAAAAAGGAUUUUUCAAAAGGAGGGAAAUUAGAAGUGGUUCCAACUAUAAAAUGCUAUCAAAAUAGGACCAGCGCAUAAAAGGCUAUAGGUGAGGAUGGAUUAAUCUAAAAGGCAGGUUUUACCUCCCCCCCUUCUCUCAGAAAAGUAUAGUUACUCUGUAAGCAUAAUUUACUCCCAGAUGCUUGUAAAAUAAUAAUAUAACUUAUUACGAGUCCCUAAAGCUCUUCUGCUUGCAGCCAACAGAAGAAUUUUUAACAACAUAUAAUUGCAAAUAACAAGCUCAUAUCCGCUAUUCCAACAAUAUAGAACUUUGACCAUUAAAGAUUACAUAUCAAAGUUCUGACCAAAAAAAUAAAGCUCUAGAAACACCUACAAAUUUGAACAUUUAUGAUUUAUAUAAACAAUUACAGAGCUACUGAAACCACACAAAGUUUCAUAGAAAAUAAUAUAAUGAAGAUCAAAGUUAUAAUGUCAUAAAAGUUUUUUUUAUAUAAAUGAUGUCCUCCUGGAACACUCCCCAUUCCUUCAGUUCAAGACUUUCCAAUUUCUGUACAAGACUGUUGUGCAACUUUUUCCAACAGAAUUUCAUAUACAGCUGAUAUAUACUAACCUAUAUAAAGUGUCUUUUAUCUUUCUAAAACUUCUUACCUUCGCAGGCUAACUAUUAAAUAUUAUAGGAGCAUUUGAGGAUCAUAUACAAUACACAUAAUUCUUACUCGUUAAAUAAAGCGUGAACGUCCAAGUCAUUUUCGCGCAGCUUAGGGCCUGUACUAUACCACCCAAUGACAUGCUCCUUUGCUGUUAUGAUUUUCUAAAAGUUAGACAAUGACAUGGGUAACAAAUACUUAAGAAAAUGGAAACAAUGCAUAUUUGAGCUACUAAGACAGGUUGUAGUACAAGCUACUAAGAAAGGGUGUGGUACCAUUUAUCCUCUUGAACAUAGAAAACAUUGCCUCGUGAUAAUUAUGGUCAAGAAACCAUAUGCUUGGAUCUUUAUCAUCCUCUUCAAAGGGCACUACAAAAUUAAGAUUAGAGCAUUUAAAAAGGGAGCUAAUAAGCAAUUAGGUCACAACUUUUCACACUAAAGGAAGUAACAAUCUAGGUCAUUAGUAAAGGAAGAACCUCUUCCAGUCACUUAAUACAUGCAUGAAGUGGUCCGUUCAAGCAUAGAGUAAUUUUUUGCUAACCCGGAAUUUAUGGAAGAUGCCUUCAGUUAAAUCAGAUACUAGUUUUUAGCAAGCCCUACAUUACUAGUUUUUGAAACUUUUUAUAGUCAUCCCUAAAGACUCAAUCCAUCAUUAAGCAAUGAAGUUUAAUGUAAGCAGUAUAUUUGAUUGCAGAUAAUCCACAACCUUCGCUGUAAACAAAAGGGCAUGAUGCGAUUUCACAAAAAUAAAGAUAACACUGAACAAUCUGUUAAUCACAUAGUAACAGCAACAACCAGCUUCGGCAUCCAACAAGUUGGUAACCAAUUUACUCUAUAUAAUGAAAAUGUAUAUUAAUAUAUACAUAUGUGCUGUUCAGGUCGUAAACGGGUUAAUUUAGUAUCACAACAAAACCAACCCACAAACUACGGUUUCUUAAAUUAGUCAAACCGGAACCCGAGAACUUCAUUUUGAUUUCGGUUCGGAUUGGAUUAAAAUAAAGUUAAUUAUUGCCAUUUGUGCGGUUGAACGCAACUCGUGGUCACUCCGUGCACUCUGCUCCAAUUAAACUAAUUCCCAACUGGUCAUCUACAAAUGCCAUUCUAUUUUAAGCCAAAGCCGAUAAACCUAAAACCGAAUUUCCACUUACCAAAAACACGAAAAAAACAUUUAGGAUUUUUAAAAUUCAAUAAAGAUUAUUAGAAUUUUAUGUUUUCUAGAAUCCCACCAUGAUUUACGGGAUUUUGAAGCAUUGUGCUUAAAUCUUAUCAACUCUACAUCAACUCUGCGACAUUUUAUCUAAAAUCUGUUAGACUCCACACAAAAUCAAAAUCAGAUACAAUCCAUUAAAAUUCAUAGAUUAUUACUAAAACAUCCUAACUUAUCGAAAAACCCUAACAUCCUCGAUAAUCAGUCAAAUCCACAACGAAUCAAACAAUUGAGUAGACAAACCGAAGAAAAGAGAUCUGAGAGAGAGAGAGAGUAUAUACCAGCAUAGCUAUUGGUGACGUCGACAGUGCCUUUGAAAGAGCUGCCGAGAAGCACGCCGACGACGCGCUUACGAGUGUCUUUGGCGACGCGAUUGUAAUUGUCGACGAUGCUGAGAAGUACGAGGGGGUGGACUAUCACUUUCUCGAUCGGUCGCGCAAGUAUCUGCUGCGACUUUAUCACAUCCAUUGCUUCGAUUACUUUCUCUCUAGCGUUGCUAUGCUAUCUAAACAAGUCUGCUGAUGGACUACAAAUGUAUCGUAUUCUCGACUCUCGAGGACUUUCGAAAAAUUGUUAAAAGUAUUUCUUUGCACAGUUUUACGAUGGCCAAGUGCUAACCAAAAACUGAAAUGGAUCCGAAUAAUUGAACCGAAUUGAAUAAUUUUGAUUUAGUUUUUUUAUGAAAAUUUUGGUUGAUUAAGUUUUUGUUAUUAUCUAAUUAAUAAUCUGAUCCAGUUCGAUUAUUCAAAAUAUUAAUUUGAUCAAAUUAAAAUAAAUAAAUAAUGAUUUUAUAUUUUUAAAUAACAUAUUUUGGAAUUUUUUCCAACUUUUUUAUUCUAGUUCUUUUGAUGUUGUAAUUUGGAAGUAGAACUCCAAAAUUUGGAGUAACACAAUAAGAUAUCAAAGAAAUUGGAUUAAUACAUAUUCAUUGUAGAAUUAAUUUCUAAUUAUAUUUUCCAUACAUUAUGUUUUCUACGGUGUCCAAUCAAUAUUUACCACUUAUGUUAAAGUGAGUGGCAUUAGUAUUAUUGGGAUGUACUUGUAUAUCUAUUACUACAAGUUUUAUUUUGAAAUACGGAUUUUGAAUAAUUGAAACCGAACUAAUCGAAUUAUUUCAGAUCGGUUCGGUUCAAUUUGAGACACUAUUUCAGUUAAGUUUGAUUUACUAAAAAGAUCAUAUUUUAAUUUUUAAUUAUUUCAAUUCGAUUUGAUUUUCACCAAAACCAACUAAAUGCUCACCCCCAACUUAUCGAAGGGCACUAUUUUAUUUAAAAUCUCAGAGACCGUGUAUAGUGCUAAGCAUUCGAUCAGUUUGGCCUAGAACCAGACCGACCCUAAAGAAUCAAAAAAUGAAUUAACCUUUUUACCUGGACCGAACCGGACCGAAAGAUGAUAGCCGAUUGAUUUAGUAAAGUGUAUAGAAGGGGCUUUCAACUGAUGAAGGUUGUUAAGCACAUCAGUUGAAACAGUCAUAGAAGGGGCUUUCAACUGAUGAAUUAUUACUAAACUCUAAAGAGAAUAUCACUAAAUUCUCCUUAUUUUACAAACUAAAACCCAACUGAAUUAUUACUAAACUCUAAAGAGAAUAUCACUAAAUUCUCCUACAACCCCACCUUCUUCUCCAACCCAGCCUGCCUCCACCUUCACUUCCAACAACUUCAUGCCGCCACCCCAUCCAUGUCCGCCGCCUCUCCAUGUUCGCCUCCACCAUAUCUACAACCAACGAAUCCCACCCACCUCCACCACCUCCACCUGCGGCAUCUUCCAUAUUCUCUAUAGAAUUCAAAAGCCGAUUGCAAGUUCUUGAAUUUCUGGUUCAAAAACGGUAUCUUCUCAGCAACACAUGCGGAAAUGUAGCCCAUGCUCUGUAAAUCUUGUAGCAAUUCGGAUUCUCUACUAUCCAUGACUAUAUAGAAUUAAAAAGAUAUAGUGAUGAGAAGAACUCGUAUCAGGCGAAAUAUAGUAUUCUGCUUCUAUAAUUUUAUGUCUUAUACUAUUCUGCUACUAUAAUUCUCUGACUAACCUUUUUCGGUGAACUCGAGUUCCUCAUCUGCCAUGGAUUUUAAGCUUGUAACUGAAGCUUGUAACUCGGUGAAAAUGGACAUUCAGAUUCUUUCCAUAUGUAUGCACGAAGACAAAAUAAAUUAUCAAAAUUAAAAAUCUAUCUAAACAUGGAAUGUAUUAUUGAUUGAAUAUGUGGAUAUGUAUAUUACUAAACUGCCCUCUAUAAAUUAGAUUUGAUUGCCUUUUUAAUAAAUCACAAUUAAAAACAUGAUUUUAAGAUGAACGGUGAUUAAGUGGGUUCCUCGGUUUUCUUGAUAGGUUGGGUUUUCUUAGGAUCUUUCUCCUAUUUUAUAUAUAUAGGGGUGGUUUUCUGGUACAAACUUACAAACUUUAUAUAAUUUGAGUUCAACAUUUUUUUAACAUAUUUCGUUGAACAUCGAUUAAAAUUGUGUAGGAGAAGUACAUAAACUAAUUUUUUAAUGUAAGAACUAAGUUAAACGUAUUAUAUAACUAAUAUUUAUGUUUCCACACCCUACCCAAACCCUGGAGGUAUAGUUUAAGCAUCUUUAUAGAUAUAUUCAACACAAUGAUAAUAAGUGUUCUACACCCGAUAUUGAACCCCAGUUAUAAAUGUGUUGAAUGCACGAUUUAAUUAUGCCUUAUUUAUAAAAAAUUGUGAUGUUUUUUGAAGAAUUUUCAACAUGGAAACUUUUUAUAACUAAAGAUUAACAAGAUGGGAGAAUAAAAAAAAGUUUGUAAAUUUGUAACUUAAAAAAGUUUUUAUUUGAUUUUAUUCCUAUAUAUAUAUAGGGGAGGGUUCAAAUACAAAUGAAAAAUAAACUAAAAAUUACAAACUAUUACCAUCAUCUUCACCCAAAUCGUAAUAAUGGACCUCUUACCACCAUUACCAGACGUUUCUAUGACUUGCCACCAUUGUCUAUCAUCACCAAUAGUCACAUACACUUUUCAUCAUAACUUACAAAACUAACGACUACUUACCAUCAUCAUACAACUUCUCUUGUGGCUUUCUACCGCCAAGAACCUUCCUACGGAUGAAAUUGAUCAUCUAUAAUCAUUAUCAAUAGUUUAGAUAAGUAGAUUUUCUCAAUUUUGAUAAUAAAAAUCGUUGUUUACAAACUGUAUAAAAAUAGUGAUUAGUGCAGUAUAAAUUAGUGAUACCCGUGGUCAUAAAUAGUGGUAGGGAAACUGGUUUCUAGUUUUUAUUUUAAGAGUGGUUUCUAUUUGAUCAUGAGCCUAUAUAUAUAUAUAUAUAUAUAUAGUCACAAGAUACAUUCUCGUAUGAUGAAUUAUAUCAAAAUACAAGAGCCGCUACCAGGAGUUUCUUUCGUUCAAGAAAGUUUACCAUCUAACUCUUGGACAGAGGUGACCGGGGACACUUAGAUUAUAAAAUUUUAAUGUUCGAUAAGAAAACAACUAAUAACGAAAUUGGAUUCGUUGGAAUUCAUAUUGUAAUUAGCAUUUGCAUAACAGGUCCCGCUAUCAUUCAAUUUUCCGCUCGUGUACCCUGAAAAAAUACAAUACAAAUAAAAGAACGUAAUAAGUUCAUACAGACAAUAAAAGAAUAUAACUAUCUAAAACGAUAGAGGAAAAGAGUCAACGAACUCAUAAUUAAAAAGGAAAAAAAUAUGAAACAGAUGACUAAAUAAAUGACUGGAUCAAUUAUCCGAUUGAUAAAUACUACGUGCAAAGCACUAGUCUGGUUCACAAGCGACUAACACUAAAGUCAAAUUUCGUACUGUCUUUGUCAACAAAUAUUGAUCAGUUGGUUCCAAAUUAGUUAUGCUUCAAUAAUUAUUGAUUAUAAAUAAUCAACCGACAUAAACUGGAUUCUUCUGGCACUUCAACUGAUUCAAAAACACUCUUGCAACCAGGCUUUAAACUUUAUUUAUCACAAAGGCCGAGGUCUGCCAUUGUGAUCUUGAACAGACUUUAGGAUUCUUUAAUAUUCUAAUUCUUUGUAUUUGCCUUAUACUCAAAACUUAAUGAUUCCUCGUAUAUCUUGCUUCAACGGUUGCACUGAAACCUUCCGAGUACUUAGACAACAUCUUCAUUGCUUUCACAUUCUUGAAUACUUCAAUCUUUAUUUUUCUCUAAGACAUGAACAUAUUAAUGAACUUCCUCCAGUGAACUUAUUCCUUCAAUACUAUAGAUGGCUUCUUAAACAUUUGUCGCCGUACCUUCAGAUUCCUAUGCAGGCGCAAUAUUAUUUACUUGCAUGUUUUAUUGUUGAGUUAUCAUAAUUAUGUGCCAUAUAUGGUUGUCUUUACAUUUAGACAUACAAAUCAAAAAAACAAUCCUGGCCUUAUUAUAUUACACACACACACACACAAAAAUAUGAAUUUUAUAAUUUCACGCCGGCCCAGCCCAUAAUAGUCUAACCCAUUAUAAGCUUUUAUCUCUUCCUUACCAUAUCCGCCCCUUUAUAAGCUUUUAUCUCUUCCUUGCCAUAUCCGCCCCUCUUUCCGAGAAUCUCACCUCUUUCACGAUCUAGCGAUUUGGUAACUUCUACUAUAAAUCUUCAAGUAAGUCUUUUAUAAUUUGGUAGCAUAUUAUCAAUUAAUCGUCAAGUAAAAUUGUUUAAUCAUAGUUCUUGUGUAUGUAGAUCUUGAUGAUAUCUUGUGUUAUUCUGUGUUUACAUAUCUUGUUACCCAGUGUCAUUGUGCUAGUAAAUAAUUGAUAUCAUUUUGAUAUACAUAUAUAGGCCAACAUUCCAGGGAGGUACUCCUUAUGUGGAGUUACAUAGUACAUCAUUGUAAAUCAUCAAUUUUAUUAUUAAUUCUAUUAUAGAAUACAUAGAAUACAUAUAAACGUGAUUCUAAUAUAGAAUACUAUAAUAUAUAUCUAUUUUAAGUAAUUUAACACUUAAAAUUUAAUGAAAAAAGCAUAUUUUCGAAACUGAUUCUAGAACAGAAUAAAUCUGGAUGAUUAUUAUUCUGUUAUAGAAUCAUGUUGAGAUAUUGCAUAAUUUUAGAUGAUUUUUUGGGAUAGAAAAUUGCAUAACUUUUUUUUUCUGUUUAAUAAUCAAAAUUUGUAAUUAUAUUCUAUAAAAGAUAUAAUAGAAUAUAUAUUAUGUAUAUAUUUAUAAUGGUGUGCUACGUAACUCCAUAUAAGAGGGUAUGCUAUGGAGUGCUACCCAUAUAUAUUAUAUGCAAUUCAGUAUACAUACUUUUAAAUUUAUGUUGGAGAUGUGAAUUUAUUUACUCAUCACUUUCAUUACAAUCAUUAAGAAGGAUAAUUUCUAAUUACCGUCAAAUGCCGGAAGUUUUGAGUUUGUAUCAUGUGUAUGAUUACACACAUGCGGAGGUGGUCAUGCGAUUGUUAGUAGAAUUUGGAAAGAAUAAUAUAGGGCUGUUCACGAACCGAGCCGAGCCGAGUUUUGACCGAACCGAGCCGAGCUUUAAUUUUUUUUCUGACUAGCCGAGCCGGGCCGAGCUUUUUUAUCGAACAAAAAUUGUGUUCAAGCUCGGCUCGUUAACUAACUAGCUGAACACGAGCUUGUUCGCGAACAAAUACAAGCCGAGCCGAGUCGAAUCGAGUCGAGCCGAGCCAGAAAAAAAAUAAGGACAAACCGCUAGUUGACUCUUAAAAUAGCUAACCAAAUAAUUUUAAUUUUUUUAAACUUUGUUUAUAUCACUAAAAUGUAUAUAUGUUAACAUCCAUACGGUUGGAUCGGUAAGAAAUAUUUUUUAAAAUAUUGAAACACUAAAUUAGGAUUAAACACUAGUUAGCGGUACUAGUUAACCUUCUACUUGACUGUUAAAAUAGCAAACCAUAUAAAAUUAUUAUUUUCCGAAAUUUUGGUUACAUCACUAAAAUAUAUAUAUAUAAUAUAUAUAUAUAUAUAUAUAGUAUAUAUAUACAGCUUUUCGAGCUUUAACGAGCCGAGCUCGAGCCGAGCUCGAGCCGAGCAUACUAAAAGCUCGGCUCGAGCUCGUUUACUUAAGUAACAAUUUUUCGUGUUCGAGCUCGUUAACUUAACGAGCCGAGCCGAACGAGCUCUUAACGAGCCGAGCUCGAGCUUGUUCGCGAACAGCUCGGUUCGUUAAACAGCCCUAGAAUAAUAUGUCAAGGUUAUCAGAGCAUCUCAACAAGACUCCUAAAUCAUUUUUUAAUAAAAUAUGUAGCUCCUACUACAAUAUAUUAGUUAUUUUUGUAAAAGCUUGUUGAAGUUUGAUGUAUUGUGACCGGUGGAUUGUCAACGUCCACGAUCUAGUCGCACAGUCGAUUUAAGUGAUACAUAACACUAUACAGCUCCUAAAAACAUUUAAAACUAAUCUUUUGGAGUUCUAGAUAAUUAUAAAUUGAGAUGGAUAAACUCUAAAAACCUAAACCUAGCCUAUCUCAAAAACCUAGGAAAUUAUUAUAUAAAGGGUUCUACCCCUCAUAAAUAGAAUUAUUUUUUGGCUUGAUCUUUCAUGAGCAUGAAAGUACAUAGGCAUCUCCUAAGGAUCAUCUUAGUUCCGGUACAAGAGAGUAGACAUUAAAACUUGACACUCACUAUUCACGAUCAUUGAUCUUCAACUAAUUUUCAUCCGUAACAAAAGUGGAAUGUGUGUCCCAAUGACAACGAUCCAAAAGUUAAAAGUGUCAAUAUUGAGCCCCUUGUGAGUGUAUCAGUAAGGCGCACAAGUCCGAAAUAUUACAAAGAAUAGUAAUAUAGCAAGGCAUCAAAAGUUAGUUGUAGAGCUAUUACACAAAUAUUAAAAAUGCAUGAGGUGAAAUUGGGAUACACAUUCUCAUUUUUUCAUUAAUCUGUUAAUGAUUUUAUUUAUGAAUACUUGCUUGCUUGAAACUAAAUAAGUUAACCUCAGAGACAUAACAAAAAUAAAGUGUUAAAAUCUAAAACUUAUACAUAUAAAGUUAAAAAGAACUAAAAAUAUCAAUUAAAAAAUUACCCUAAUGUUGAACGCCAAUAAAAUCGCAUACAACAUUGUCGACCAAUAAAAUCACGUAAAACAUUUUUAGGCCGUUUUCUUUGGAAAAACAUAAUCUAAAAACAAAACCCCAUCAUAUCCGUUCUACAUAAGGUCUACAAGAGUAAUGAUAAGAUCUUACAUUCAUUUAAAAGAAUGAAGAAGCAGUUUGCUAAAAGACUUAUGACUUUUGUGAGGGUGUAUUGAUAAGAUAUGUGAAAAAGCAUUAUAAUAAAGAAAAUAAGAUGUGAUAUCAUAAAUUAUUGUUUAAGUCACUUGUAUUUUUUAAUAAUUCCAAACCUCUCAAGAUUGUCGCUCCCAAAUCAAAUAAAUUGUGAGAUCACAUUUUCUUAGAGUCUUACACAAAAUUUUCGCGGUAGAAGAAAUCAAAUGAAUACUUGGCGAAAAGAAGUAAAGGGAAAUUAAUUCUAUUUUACAUGGUAAAUCAUUAUACUUUAAGUAGUAGAUAAAUAUUCAUAUUAGUAUAAAUGUGUGUAAAUAAUAUAUAUAUAUAUAUAUAUAUAUAUAUAUAUAUAUAUAUUUAUAUGAAAAUGAUGUAAAUAUGCGUUGAGAAAUGAAUUACUAAUCUAAUAAAUGAAUAUUAAAUGAUUAAAUUGUACUAAUUAAUUUAUUAAAGAACAUCAAUAUAUAUCAAGAAUGAUAAUCCUAAACUACAAGAUAUAUAAAUCCUAUCAAUUCCAAUAACUAAUCCACUACUUUUAUCCCUCCAAGAACUCCAAUCAUAUAUCAUAUUCUCAUGAAAGUUUGCAUUCCUUCCAAAUCUUCCCAAUGUUUUCCUGAGAAUCCUGGCAGUUUGCGAAUAUUAUACCAUCUUGGCUCUUGCCAUCAUAUUUGAUAUAUUAGAAUAUGGAUGUCCAUGAAAUCAGUCAAAGCCUCUGGUCUUUUCCAUUAAGAGGCCGUUUGGAAACUUUCAUUUCAUUUCAAAUGAUGAAUUUUAAAUGAGAGUUGUCAUUUCAAAUCCUCGGAUUUAUACUAAUAUUUGAAUGUGUGGAUUUCAAACGAAUUCCAAAUCCAAAUUCCCAAACAUGUUAUUUGACCAAAUCUAGAAUUUCAAAUCAAAUCCAGUUUCCCAAACAAGCCAUAAAUGUUUUUGUUGCUUCUUAAUUGUGAGUUGUGUCCAACAUAUAUUACUGUACUUUUGUUACUCUUAUCUUUCGAGGGUCGUAUCAAAUUCGACAAUAGACUAGAACAACAACAGAUUAGCUUACUUGAUGUGUGCUACAAUUGUUGCUAUUAAAUCUGUUGCUUUCUGCACCUGUCUAGCAUUUUCUUUUAACAUUUCUGGUUUUCUUAAUUCUUGUCAGAUGAUGACAAGGGACUUCAAAUUAUCUUUGAAGUUGAGGGAGCCAACAUCAAUAUAUGAGUUAUCAGAUGAUAAUCUCAGUGAGAUAUUCUUUAGACUGCCGGUGAGAGUUCUUUUGUGCUGCCAAUGUGUGUGCAAACGCUUUAGCAAAGUGAUCACCGAUCCAAAAUUCAGAAAAAUCCAAGUUAAUCGAGCCAUGGCUUCCAACACCACUUCUUUUUGUUUGGUUCAUCUUAUUGUAAGUGAUUUUAGUGAUAUAUGUGGCAGUGUUGAGAAUUUCAAACAUCGGUAUGAUCACAUUCUUCUGGAGAAGACACAUUGUUCUGCAUCCUCUUCUUAUCUGAGGCUCAGCAACCCCUUAAUAUCUGACAUCUCUAUAGUAGGUAGCAGUAACGGUCUUGUGUGCGCUAAACUUGAGUCCCUCGCGGAUCAAAAUGAAUCAAACAUGUUGAUCUGGAACCCUGUUACCAGAGAAAAUCGCUUCGUUGCUGAACCAAAAAGGCAUUCCCGGCCCACGAAGCGAAACCGGUGGUUUCUUAGACACGGCGAGCUAAAGCUAAAAAAUGAUGGUUCACGAUUUAAAAAUGUUCUUGCGCAUGCAUUUAGUUUCACACCCGGAACCAAUGAUUACAAAGUGGUAAGAAUCACUUCUUAUAAGUAGCCCGGUGAUGCUAUAGUCAUUAAACUGGAGAUUUUUAACAUGAGUCCUGACAAGUGGAGUACGUACCAGAUAAAAACUCUGCAAUGUCGUGAGAUCGAUCAUAUGCCUCAGCAGGUCGAUCCCUCUAUGCUCUUAAAAAUGAUGCGGUCCCACAAUACCCGGUCUUUAAAAGGGGCAUUUCAUUGGCUUUGUGAUGCCUCACUAGGUGCAAGUGGGAAUGAUACCGCAAUCUUGUCAGUUGGCCUUGAAGCAGAGCAAUUGAGAUUGUUCACAGUGUUGGAUUCUAAUAAAAUUCCUCGUCUAAAGUCUGGGAAGCUAGAUUGUAUGAAUGACUCGCUAUCAUUGAUUGUUCCUAAUUAUUCAAGUGGUCCUUGCCCAAUCAUUGAUAUAUGGGUGAUGAAUGACUAUGGGGAUCGGAACUCCUGGAUUAAGAAGUACUCUGUCAAUCAGUUUCAAGGACGUGGAACAGAGCCAAUAGGAUACUGGAAAUAUGAUCUCUUCCUGAUGGCCAAUUUGACGAGGAAUCUAUCUUUAUGCUUGUAUAACCUCAGAAACCAAGAAAUGAAGUCCUUCCCAGUCCAGUGGCAUUUCUACACUGCUGCUUUUUAUGAUUAUGUUGAAACAUUUGAAACAGUCAGACCGGCGAUUGCAACUACAGCGGAGGCUGUCUAGUAAGGUAAUAUACUUGCAUCUAUUUACACCACAGAGUGUAUCUUUACCACCUUGCUGAAGAAUACAAAUUAUUCCAGAAUUGAAAAACGAAAACAAAAAUUUGUGUUGCAUAUCAACACAAAUCGCUAUUUGCAGUAUAUCUUAUAUGUAAUACAUACAUAUAAACAUUCAAACUAGCAAGUCACUUGGAUCUUUUCAAGUACUUUGUUCAUAAUGUGUCACUUACAGAACUCUCAAUUUGCCCAAAUUUCUUCGUUAUGGUGCAUUUAUGGAAAUGAUUAUAGCGUGACUUGUUUCAGAAUUACAGUUUCAUAUUUCAACUUUAAAAGCGUUUUCUUGAGUUUUUUCAGGACUUCAGUUUCCUAAUGCUUAAUUAUUUGACUUUUAGGUAUGAAACUGAAGCUUCUUGAGAUUUUCUGAGGAUUGUACUUGAAAGGCACCAAUUUGUCAAGUCCACAUGAAUCUUGGUCCGAAUAUGCCUUCAGCUAAAAUCUCAUAUAUGUUCUUUUAAUUAUGCUCUCUAUGGACAUCAUUUGUAACUUUGAUUGCUGGCUUUGUACAAGUUUACUCUUUUCAUUUUAAGUUUUAAUAUUGUUGCCGACCUUGUAUGAAAAUUGGAUUUUGUUGGUAUAUUCCAGCCAUCUUAUAUAUAUACAGCUUAAGUUUGGAAAUCGGACUACAGAUAUUAUAGGGUAAUGGUGGAGCAUAAAAUUAUAUAUUAUUCGCUCCUGCUAGAUGGCAGCAUUUACAGACCAAAAUGCAGAUAAUGAUCAGAAUGAGCAAAACCAUUAUAUUGUGUCUGUUUGAGAUGAAUAAAUUUGGAAGAAUGAAAUGAAAUUUAAAUUAUGUUAUGGAUGAUGGCAGUGAGGUGCAGCCCAGGGGAUUUUUUUUUCUUUUUUACCAAAAUUUUCUAUAAUAUACAAUGAUAAUAUUUGUUCUUCUCUCUAAUAGUAUAAGCAUUUUAAUAUAUUUUUUCAAUAUAUAAAUGAAAACUCAAAAACCAAGUACGGUUCUGUCUCAAAAUUCGUAGCUUUCUUUGUUUCUCUAUUUACGUUUACAAGCUUUUGCCGUUCGAUGUGGCUUAUUGGACCACCUUUGAGCUAAAGAAAGUUUCAUACGUUUCGCAUGGGCUAUAAGAUCAUCCAAAUCUGGAAUUGAAGAUAUGACCAAAAUAGUGUAAAACUGAAUUAGCAUAAAAUAUACCUCCAAAAUUUGGAUCACUGUUGGAGGAUAAUUUGAGAUAAUAUGUCCCAAAUUUGGAUUUUUUAAUCAAUGUUGGGUUUUCCCUUAACAUAUUGCUAUGUUUCUAUGCAUUAAAACUAUUUUUCUUCUUCUUAGUAUUCAUAAAUUGCAAAUUGUAUGUGAAUUACUUGUUAGUUUACAUAAUUAAAAAUUGUAAUUCAUAAGAUUUUAUCUUUAUUUUUUUUACUAUUCUUUAUGCAUCGUUUUAAUGAAAUACAAGGACUCUAAUUAAAUAUUAUGGUAGAUGUGUUUGAAACACGGAAUAUUGAAGUCUAAAUUAAUAUAUAUAUAUAUAUAUAUAUAUAUAUAUAUAUAUAUAUAUAUAUAUAUAUAUAUAUAUAUAUAUAUAUAUAUACACAACAANNNNNNNNNNNNNNNNNNNNNNNNNNNNNNNNNNCUUACAUAUAUUACACACACAUACAUAACAUAUGUGUCAAGAAUAUAUAUACAUAUAUGUCAUAUAUAUAUAUAUUAUAUUUAAUUAUAUAUACAUAUAUAUAUAUAUAACACACACACUAACACACAUAUAUAUUGGUCACCUCUAGAUUUAGCUUUCUGUGGAAGUUCUGACACAAGCAGCAGAGACUAGCAAUACAUGACUGAGGCUUUGAUUUUGGCUAGGCUUGACUCUGAAACAGAUGACUAAAUAAAUGACUAGAUCAAUCCUCCGAUUGAUAAAUACUACGUGAUCUGUAUGUGCUUAUGCUUAGUGCAUUGGUCUGGUUCAUAAGCGACUAACACUGACGUCAAAUUUCGUACACUCAGCAAUCAUUGAUCAGUCGGUUCCAGAUUAGUUAUGCUUCAGUUGUUGAUUAUAAAUAAUGAACCGAUAUAAACUAGAUUUUUUUGGCAUUUCAACUCAAUCAGAAAUACUUUUGCAAAUGUGAAAGUCUUUUAACUUUGUUUAUCACCAAGGUCGUGGUCUGCCAUUGUGAUCUUGAAUAGACUUUUGGAUUCCUUGCUAGUUCUUUGUAUUUGCUUCAUACUCAAAAUUUAAUGAUUCGUGAUAUAUCUUGCUUAAAGGGUUGCAGUGGAACCUUUCGAGUACACUCUUGAAUAGUUCAAUUUUUAUUCUUCAUUGAGACAUGAACAUGAUAAUGAAGUGAAAUUAUUCCUUCAAGGCUAUAGAUGACUUCUUAAACAUUUGUUUUCAUAUCUUUCCUAUGCGGUCAUAGUAUUAUUUACUUGCAUGUUCUAUUGUUGAGUUAUCAUAACUAUGUGACACAUAUGGUUGUCUUUAUAUUUAGACUUACAAAUCAAAAAAAAUUUAUAAAUUUUUUAUUCUUUAUUUCCUACAAUAAGAAUUUAAAAUUCACUAAAUAGAAAUUUAAAUCAGUGCAAAAUACUAUUAAAUAUGAGAAUAAAAUCUUAUAAAUAUAUAUAUAGAAAUGUAUAUUAUCGUUUAUAGUCAAUUUUUAAGCAAAUUGUGAAAAUUCAACCUAUAAUGAUCACUUCUGGAAGAUUAGGAGACUUUGAGAUCUAUAAAGGAUUAUGUUUAUAUGUAUUUUUUGAAACAAUAUUGUUUAAAGAACUUUAAUAAAUAUAUAUUAAGGUAAAUAUUAUGACACAUGUACGUAUAAAUAAUCAUCCAAAAUUUAGUUAAAAGUUCAGAUAUAAAAUUAUAUCUCAAUAGUGCAUAAUGAUGUUUUCACCUGGUGACUUAUUUCCCUUAAUUCUCUAAACUACAAGUCUAGUCGCGCUCUAUAUAUAGCAGUUGUAGCAAUGGUCAGGUACAUACAUCUACCUCACCUUGUUAAAUUUCGUGUAGAAAAAAUGGUUUGAAUUUGUAAAAUAUCAUAUAUAGCUCCCAAUCUGUGAUAAUUUUUAAAUCUAAUUUAAUAUAACACCAAAUAUGAUAUUAUUAAAAACGUGUUCGCAUUGGUUUACUACGGUGAAUGAAUACAAUCUAAGAACUUUAGUGUGCUUAGGGCUGUAAAUGAGUUGAUACGCUCGAUAACUGCUCGGUGUUCGGUUCGAAAAAAGCUCUGUUCGAGCUCGGUUCGAUUCAUAAACGAGUCGAUCUUGAGCAUAAUUUUAAGGUUCGUUUUAUAAACGAGCUGAACUUGAGCACAGUAGAGUUCGAUUCGAUAGUUCGCGAACAAGUUCGAAUUAUAUGAGUUCGUACGUGAACUUGACUCGUGAGUGUAGUUUGUGAACUAGCUCGUGAACAUGAUUUAUUAUGAAUUUAUGAUUCCUUAGAGCAUAAAUUAAAAUAUUGUUAGAAUUUUAAUAUAUAUUUUUUGAUUAAAUUAAAUAACAAACAAGCUCAUAAAUAAAUUUAUAAGCAUAAGCUAGCUCCUUAUUAAAGUUUAUUAAACAAGCUCGUGAAUAAAAUUAAUGAGCGGUUGGUGAACAAAAAUUCGUGAGACAUGUUCGUGAGCGUAAGUUAAUGAGCGGUUCGUGAGAAAAAGCUCGUGAGACAUGUUCGUGAGCGGUUCGCGAGCCGUUCGUGAACAGUGUUAUUCCUUAAUAAGUCGAUCCUCAAACAAUAUUUUUGGCACUACCCAAGCUCGAGCUCGAGCUCGCUUAUUUUUUAACAAACGAUACACGAACACUUUAGAGUUCGGCUCGGCUCGACUCAUUUACACCCCUAAGUGUGCUGACAUAUUCAUCAAGUGUCCGGAAGCAAAGACAUACAUAGCAGUCAGAGGGCAGCAUAAGAUGAGGCACCCUUUGGACAUCGUACUAUAGAUAUUAUAAGGUAAUGGUGGAGCAUAAAAUUAUUAUUUUCCCCUUCUUCGAAAUAUGUUAUAUGGCAGCAUUGUUGUGUUUAGUUGUGUUUAGUUGAGGUGAAUGAAUUUGAAAGGAAUGGAAUGAAAUUUGAACUAUAUUUAGCUGAGGUACCUUUUGUAAAAGUAAGUUGUACUUCAGAACUGGGGAUGCAAACAUUGAUUAGUCGGUUCCAGAAUUGUUAUGCUUCAGUUGUUGAUUACAAAAUAAUCAACCGAUAUAAAUUGGAUUUUUCUGGAACUUCAACUAAAUCAAAAAUACUUUUGCAACCCUGAAAGUCUUUGAACUUUGUUUAUCACCAAAGCUGAGGUUUGCCAUUGUGAUCUUGAAUAGACUUCAGGAUUCUUUGAUAUUCUGAUUAUUUGUAUUUGCUUGAUACUCAAAACAUGAUGAUUCCUGAUAUAUCUUGCUUCAAGGGUUGCACUGAAACCUUCCGAGUAUUUAGACAAUAUCUUCAUUGCUUCCACAAUCUAGAAUACUUCAAAAAAUUUAUUCUUCACUGAGACAUGGACAUAUUAAUGUAAUUCUUCCGGUGAACUUAUUCCUUCAAGAUUAUAGAUGGCUUCUUCAACAUUUGUCUUCGUAUAUUCAAAUUUCUAUGCAGGCGUAGUAUUAUUUACUUGCAUGUUCUUCUGUUGAGUUAUCAUAACUAUGUGACAUAUAUGGUUGUCUUUACAUUUAGACUUACAAAUCAAAAAAUAAAUCAUGGCCUUAUUAUAUUAUUAUAUAUAUACACACACAAACACACAUAUGAAUCUUAUAAUUUCACACCGGCCCAGCCCAUAAUAGUCUAACCCAUUAUAUGCUUUUAUCUCUUCCUUGCCAUAUCCGCCCCUCUUUCCGACGAUCUCACCACUCUCACGAUCUAGCGAUUUGGUAACUUCUCGAGUAAAUCUUUAGGUAAGUCUUUUAAUUGGUAGCAUAUUAUCACUUGAUCAUCAAGUAGAAUUGUUAAAUCAUAGUUCUUAUGUAUAUAGAUCUUGAUAUCAUGUAUUGUGUGUUUACAUAUCUAGUUAUCCAGUGUCAAUGUGGUAGUUAAUUAUUGAUAUCAUUUUGAUAUACAUACAUGUUAUAUGCAAUUCAGUACACAUACUUUUAGAUUUAUGUUAGAUAUGUGAAUUUUAUUUGUUUAUCACUUUCAUUUUAAUCAAUAAGAAGGAGAAUUCCAAAUUACCGUCAAAUGCUAGAAGUUUUGAGUUUGUAUGUGUAUGAUUACACACAUGCGGAGGUGGUCAUUGCAUUGUUAGUAGAAUUUGGAAGGAAUAACAUGUCAAAGGUUAUUAGAGCAUCUCAAAAAGACUCCUGAAUCACUUUUUAAUAAAAUAUGCGGCUCUUAAUAAAUUAAUAUCAUGAAUAACGGGACAACUAUAAUCUUAAUACUUACUCCUUAAUUAUAUUUUAUUCUUAUAAUUUAAGAAAAAAGUUGUAAAUAUAAUUUGUGGUGAAGUAAAUAUCAUAUUCAUGAAUAAAAAGUCAAGAGAACCUAGAUAUUAUUUAAACGAGAAGAGAGAUAAGGUGCUUUUAAAUUUAUAAAAAGUUUUAGGAGUCUAUUGGAGACUAAUUGACAUCCUCUUUAAAUUUAAAGUUAUCAUUUUUUUCAAAGAAAAACCUUUUGAAGAUAUUCUUCUCUCUAUCCUCUUAAUAUUAAUAAUUACUAUAUGUUUAAUAAGAAUAAAUAAAUUUGGAACCUCCCAUAAAUUCUUCUCAGAGUAUUAAUCAAAACACUUAUUGAUAUAUCCAUUUUGUCCCAGAAUCCACAUGCUUGUGUGUUCUUUUAGCUUAAAAUAUAUUAAAAUAAAAAAAUGUGAUGCAUAUAAUUUAAACUCAGAACAACUUUUAGAGCCAAGUAACAUUUUAAUAUUUUAAUGGCCGGUAAAAUAUUCAAUACUAUAACCUUAAGUUCAUAAUUAUAUUCAUCAUGUUUUAGGGCUUGGUCCCGAGUUUUUUAAGAAGGGGAGUAAAGGGAUGGAAAGGUGCUUUCACUUGCAUCCCGUUUUUUGAGUGAAAGUUUUGGAUUGAAGUUCUCCUUAAAUUGCAUUCAUUUGCACUUGUUUUCGUGAUUCUAAAAAACUUGGGAGCACACAAAUAGGAGCGAAAAUUCUAUAAGUCUACUUCUUCACUUGCUUUCCACCUUAUUUGUAACUCAGGAGCACGGUGUUAUUACCCACAAUAGAAGUUGAUAUGGAAUACAAUAAUAGCUCACUAAAUUAAUUAUUAGUUAAGGCCUGAUUCUUGAUAUAUAUUAGUUAUUUUUGUAAAAGCUUGUUGAGGUUUGUUGUCUGGAGCCGGAUCUAGUAUCACGAUUACACAAUCGAUUUGAAGUGAUAUGUAACACUAUCCAAUUCCUAGAAAUAUUUGAAACUAAUCUCUUAGAGUUCUAGAUAAUUAUAAACUCAAGUGAUAUAGAACACUAUACAACUCCAACAAAAAUUUGAAACUAAUCUCUUAGAGUUCUGGAUAAUUAUAAACUCAGAUGGAUAUACAUUAAGAACCUAAACCUAGUCUAUCUCAAAAACCUAAGAAAUUAUUAUUAUAUAAAGGGUUCUGCCCCUAAUAACUACAACUAUGUUUUUGGCUUGAUCUUUCACGAGUAUGAAAGUACAUAAGCAUCUCGUAAGGAUCAUCUUAGUUCUGGUACACGAGAGUAGACAUUGAAUCUUGACGCUCACUAUUCACGAUCGUUGAUCUUCAACUAAUUUUCAUCCGUAACAAAAGUGGAAUGUGAGUUCCAAUGAGAAUGAUGCAAAAAUUAAAAGUGUUAAUAUUGAAUCCCUUGUGAAUGUAUCAAUAUGGCGCACAAAUAUAACAAAGAAUAGUAAUAUAGCAAGGCAUAAAAAGUUGGUUUUAGAGCCAUUACACAAAUAUUAAAAAUGCAUGGACUGAAAUUGGGAUACACAUUCUCAUUUUUUCAUAAAUUCGUUAAUAUUUUUAUUUAUAAAUACUUGCUUGAUUAAUACUAAAUAAAUUAACCUAAGAGACAAAACAAAAUAAAGUGUUAAAAUCUAAAAUUAUAUUUUAUAUGAAAAUGUCUAUAUAUGAAAAUGUGUGUAUAUAUGCAUUGAGAAAUGAAUUAUUAAUCAAAUAAAUGAAUAUUUUAUGUUAUAAAAGAACAUCAAUAUAUAUCAAGAAUGAUAAUCCUAAACUACAAGAUAUAUAAUUACUAUCAAUUGCAAUAACUAAUCCACUACAGAUAAUCCUAAACUACAAGAUAUAUAAUUACUAUCAAUUGUAAUAACUAAUCCACUACUGAUAAUCCUAAACUACAAGAUAUAUAAUUACUAUCAAUUGCAAUAACUAAUCCACUACUCUGAUCGAAUCCCUCCAAGAACUCUAAUCAUAUAUCAUGUUCUCAUGAAGGUUUGAAGUCCAUGAUCUAACAUUAAAGCUCCUCCCACGUGUGUCUUGGCCUCCUUUUUUCUCGUGUUAUUAUCCCUUAUUCAUAUGGGAGCUGAUGACAUAUGUCUCCUUCAAACAUGACCAAAACAUCAUAAUAUACCUUCCCUUCACAACUAUAAUCAGUUGACAAUUUAUUAAACAUGGCGCAUCCACAGAUUCAUUGUAAUAUCAAUCUCUGAGGACAUUCUUAUUGCCCAAGACCAAGGGCCAUAAUCGAACUACUAUGACCGCAACUUUAUAAAACUUUCUUUUAAUUUUAGAAGAAUUAUUUUUCACCUAAUACUCCUUAAACCUACCUCCAAUUUAACCAUUGUGAUUUUACGAUUUGAUAAGACGAGUGCCGUUAUUUAUCUAUCUUUACUUCUUUUGAAAUAAUAGAACCUAAAAUCAAAUACAUAUACAUGAUAGUGUUCCCAUCAUCUAUGUAUUUGCAUGUGGAAUAUAUCUAGUAUUGAUGUCUCCCUCCCAUCCCCCCUUACUCGUUACAACCAUCCCUACCUCUUUACCAGGAGCAUUUUGUUUAGUUAUAUUUUUUUUGCAUAUUGAUGGAGCAAUAUCAGUCUCUAGCUUUUUAAAUAUUACUUGAAUAUAACAAAACAAUUUCUGUGGAUAUAGUUUUAAUGUUGUAAUUACUUGUAGAAAUUAUAUGAUGAUAACAAAGAUUUGUAAUUAUUUUCAAAUCAAGACAUUUUUAAGCGUUCACUUCAUUGGAAUGGAUUGAUGAUUUAAAAUUUAGCUUGUUUGGUUGGUCAAAGAAAUGAAAUGGACCAUUCCCACCAUCGUUCCAUUCCAUCAAUGUUGUUGAAUUUCAUGCAUCCAAAACAUGUGGGAUGAGUUCAUUCAUGUUACACGCAAAAUUUUCAAAAAAAAAAAAUUACUAUAUCUUUCUCUGAAACUCAUCUGAAAAUUAAGCAUUUAAAUCUCUCUUACAUUUUUCAAAAUCAAAAUAUUAUACAAUUAUAUAUUAUUUUACAUUCCAUUCUAGUUAAAUUUUACUUCAAAGAACAAAUGCAUCAAAUGAUUAUGCCAUUCCACCAUCAUUCCAUUCCUCCCAAGUGAACGCAAUCUUCCCAUGUUUUCCUGAGAAUCCAAUUAUAUAUAGUUGUGGACCACCAACAAGUAUAAUUGAUCAUCAAUAAUCGACCACAUAUAUUUAACAUAUGUAGAUCUUCUCAAUUAUGAAAAAUAAAAUUACUGAUUAGAUUGUAUAAAAUAGUGAUUAUGCCGUAUAAACUAAUGAUUCCUAUAGUUGUACAGUGAUCGUUGAACUCAUUUUUAGUUUGUAUUUAACAAUUAGUUUGUAUUUAAUUUUUUGCAUUUUCCUUUUACAUUUCUAUUUAUUUAUAAUUCUUAUUUUAUCACAGAGCGGCAAAAAAUGACAAGGGACAGCAAAUUAUCUUUAAGGAAUUUGAAAAGGGAGCCAACAUCAAUAUAUGACUUAUCAGAUGAUAAUCUCAGUGAGAUAUUCUUUAGACUGCCGGUGAGAGUUCUUUUGUGCUGCCAAUGUGUGUGCAAACGCUUUAGCAAAGUGAUCACCGAUCCAAAAUUCAGAAAAAUCCAUGUUAAUCGAGCCAUGGCUUCCAACACCACUUCUUUUUGUUUGGUUCAAUGUUAAUCGAGCCAUGGCUUCCAACACCACUUCUUUUUGUUUGGUUCAUCUUAUUGUAAGUGAUUUAAGUGAUAUAUGUGGCAGUGUUGAGAAUUUCAAACAUCGAUAUGAUCACAUUCUUCUCGAGAAGACGCAAUUUUCUGCAUCCUUUUCUUAUCUGAGGCUCAGCAACCCCUUAAUAUCUGACAUCUCUAUAGUAGGUAGCAGUAACGGUCUUGUGUGCGCUCAACUUAAGUCCCUCGGGGAUCAAAGUGAAUCAAACAUGUUGAUCUGGAACCCUGUUACAAGAGAAAAUCGAUUUGUUGCUGAACCAAAGAGGCAUUCCCGGCCCACCAAGCAAAAGCGGUGGUUUAAAACUUUUCAUGCUCUUGCAUUUGGUUUCACACCCGGAACCAAUGAUUACAAAGUGGUCAGAAUCACUUCUUGUAAGGAGCCCGGUGAAGCUAGAGACAUUAAACUGGAGAUUUUUAACAUGAGUACUGACAAGUGGAGUGCAUACCAGAUAAAAACUCUGCAAUGUCGUGAGACCGAUCAUAUGCCCCCGCAGGUCGAUCCCUCUAUACUCUUAAAUAUGAUUCGGUCCCACAAUACCCCGUGUUUAAAAGGGGCAUUUCAUUGGCUUUGUGAUUCGUCACUAGGUGCAAGGGGGAAUGAUACAGCAAUCUUGUCAUUUGGCCUUGAAGAAGAGCAAUUGAGAUUGUUCACAGUGUUGGAUUCUAAUAAAAUUCCUCAUCUGAAGUCUGGGAAGCUAGAUUGUAUGAAUGAAUCGCUAUCAGUGAUUGUUCCUUAUUAUUCAAGUAAUUGCCCAAUCAUUGAUAUAUGGGUGAUGAAUGACUAUGGGGAUCGGAACUCCUGGAUUAAGAUGUACUCUGUCGAUCAGUUUCAAGGACUUGGAAUGGAGCCAAUAGGAUACUGGAAAGAUGAUCUCUUCCUGAUGGCCAAUUUGGCGAUGAAAGAUGGAUAUUUAUGCUUGUAUAACCUCAGAAACCAAGAAAUGAAGCCCUUCCCAGUUCAGUGGCAUUUCUACACUGCUGCUUUUUAUGAUUAUGUUGAAACAUUUGAAACAGUCAGACGGGCGAUUGCAACUACAGCGGAGGCUGUCUAGUAAGGUAAUAUACUUGCAUCUAUUUACACCACAUAAUGUGUGUUUACCACCUUGCAGAAGAUUAUAAAUUAUUCCAGAGUUGAAAAACGAAAACAAAAAUUUGUGUUGCAUAUCAAGUUUAAUUGCUAUCUGCAGAAUAUCUUAUAUGUACAUACAUACAUAUAAGGCUUAUUUCCGUUUUAACCCUCAAUGUUUGGGGGGUGUAUCGGCCUCAAUGUUUUAAUUCGGCCGAUUCAACCCUCCAAGUAUUAGAUAAGUUCCAAUUAGCCCUCAUAAUGGGAUGAAGCAAAAGAAAAAACGGUAUAUAACGGACGGUAAACUUGACAAUUACUUUUGAAGUAAAGUUUGCUCGUUCCUUUUAAUCCCUAAAGAAUACACUAGAUGUUUCUUUAACCCCUAAAAAAUACAUUAAAAUACAUAACAUGUCCCUUUUAACCUUCAAUGUUUAGUGACCUUUUAGCCCUCACGAGUGUGAAAUUGUCAUGGUUGCCCAUCCGAUAUAUACUAUUUUUUGGUACGAGAGCUAAUCGGAACAUAUCAUAUACUUAAAGGGUUGAAUCAGAUGAGUUAAAACAUUUAGAGUUAGAAGGGCAGUUAGCGUACAUAUAAACAUUCAAACUAGCAAGUCACUUGGAUCUAUUCAAGUACACUGCUCAUAAUGUGUCACUUACAGAACUCUCAAUUUGCCCAAAUUUCUUCGUUAUGGUUAAAAGGGUUGGAAAAUAGUAGAGUUAAAAGGGUUAAAGUAUAUAUAGAGAGCAAACACAUCUGUAAAAAGGGUUGGAAAAUAGUAGAGUUAAAAGGAUAUAUAUACAUUAUGGUUGUAAGUAUCAACAGGUGCAUUUAUGGAAAUGAUUAUAGCCUGAGUUGUUUUCAGAAUUACAGUUUCAUAUUCCAACUCUAAAAGCGUUUUCUUGACUUAUUUUCCAAGGCCUCCAUAUUGGCGUGUAGAUUUUCUUGAUAUAGUCUUGGCCUGCACCAUGUUGCAUAACAGUGUGAAUUAAAAUUAGAAUGGGCUUCCUGUAAUUGAACAUAACAGUUUCUUAUAAUAUGAUUCCCAGUUGUCAAACAAUUCUUUUGUUCUUGUUAUCCUCUGAAAGCUUAAAACUGUCUCCUUAUAUUUUUGUCACAUCUGCUGCUGUUUCCUAAUGCUUAAUUAUCUGACUUUUAGGUAUGAAAUAUGAAGCUUUCUUGAGAUCUUCUGAGGAUUGAAAGGCACUAAUUUGUCAAGUCCACAUGAAUCUUGGUCCAAAUAUGCCUUCAGCUAAAAUCUCAUAUAUGUUCUUUUAAUUAUGCUCUAUGGACAUCGUUUGUAACUUUGAUUGCUGGCUUUGCACAAGUUUACUUCUUUUCAUUUUAAGUUUCAAGAUUGUUGCGGACCUUUUAUGAAAAUUGAAUUUUGUUGGUAUAUACUAGCCAUCUUAAAUACGUUAAGUUUGGAAAUGGUACUAUAGAUAUUAUUAUAGCGUAAUAGUGGAGCUUAAAAAUAUAAUUAGCUCCUUUGAAAUAUGGCAUAUGGCAGCAAUUAUAUUCACAAGGAGGAUAAUUUGUUCCCAUGAUCUUAUUACUAUAAAAAACGUUGAAUCAUAUAUAGGUAAAUAAGCACAUUCAGAUUAAACAAAAUCAUGUUUUGUCCUAUAAAUACCUUAAAUGAUAUCUAUUUUCAUAUUUAUCAUAUUUUUUUAAUCAAAAACAGAUUCUGCAGCUUUUACAUAUUUAUGAUUUUUUUUAAAUCCAAAACAAAAAUUACUUAUAAAUUUUAAUUCUAAAAGCAUAUAAAUCCCACAAUUAUAAAAUCACUAUUAUUUAAUUUAUUUUCUUAAACAACAUACUAAAAAAAUAAUAUUAUGCACAAAAGUAUUUAUAUCAAAGAAAUAGAAAAUAAAAUAUAAAAAGUUAAUAUCACAAAAUUAUUUUAAUCAGAAAAUUUCAAACAUAAUCAAAUAUGGUAAAAAUAAAUUAUUACUUGAACACACAUACGACAAAAAUGCUAAAUUGACUAACCCGGAAAAACAUAGAGAUGGAAGC
rnacentral:lncRNA from 1 species